rnacentral:misc_RNA from 1 species
GAACUGCGAUAAGUAAUGUGAAUUGCAGAAUUCAGUGAAUCAUCGAAUCUUUGAACGCACAUUGCGCCCGCCAGUAUUCUGGCGGGCAUGCCUGUUCGAGCGUCAUUUCAACCAUCAAGCCCCGCGCUUGUGUUGGGGACCUGCGGCUGCCGCAGGCCCUGAAAACCAGUGGCGGGCUCGCUGUCACACCGGGCGUAGUAGAUUUUAUCUCGCUCAGGGCGUGCUGCGGGUUCCGGCCGUUAAAAAGCCUUUUUUACCCAAGGUUGACCUCGGAUCAGGUAGGAAGACCCGCUGAACUUAAGC